AUGGCCGGAAUCGUUAACAAGGAGUUUGCUGAGUUGGCCCAGACGGGGCUGAACUACCUGCCAUUGGCCUCAGACUGUGAGAUCUUUCUCCAGGGCAAAACCCUCCUAAGGGCGAUCGGUAAGGGGACCCAACUGGCCCCCACUGAUCCCAAGUUCGAAAUUGAGAAUGCCCAGGCUCUGUAUUUUCUCCAUCAUCACCUGUCACCUACUCUGAAAGACGAGUAUAUGGCUGAGCGGAGUUCUUUUGGCCUUUGGACCGAUCUUAAGCAGCGGUUCGAGCGGCUGAAGUACACUGUUAAGCCACGUGCAGAGGCAGAGUGGAUCCGUCUGAGGUUUGCAGACUUCAAGAUGAAGAUUGAGAAAAUCCUAUCCACUUUCCACCCUGACGCGGUCCUGUCCGCACGGAACUACCACCAGGGCAACUACAUGAGGUAUUCAGUGUUGAUUGACGUCCUCUAGGUGGCAGAGGCGGAGGACGAGGUUUUGAAAAAGAACUUUGUCGCACAACCACUUGGGGGGAGUUCUCGCCAGGAGGUGAAUGCUCUCAAAGUCCACAAGCCUCAACAGAAGAAGAGGGGCCGCAAGGGCAAGAAGAAGGGCCCUCAACCCCCACCCCAGAGGCCUCAGGACUGCUUCAGGUGUGGCUUGGUGGAGCAUUUCUCCCGCCAGUGUCGCGCGCCACGGGAGGUCGUUGAUGCAUACAAGGCUCAGAAGGUGCGUGGGACGCACCUCGCCUUGGUUCAGGAGGGAGCACCACCGGUGCCCAUGGCGGCACCCGUGAUGAUCUCUACGCCCCCUGCUGCGCCCAUUGAUACGUCUCCAACAUAUCUAUAA
rnacentral:rRNA from 1 species